rnacentral:misc_RNA from 1 species
GUAGGUGAACCUGCGGAAGGAUCAUUACCAAAUCCAAAUACCCAAACCCCAUGUGAACUAUUGUAUAGUCUGUCUUUGGGAGAAAAAACGAAAAUAUACUAGUAAGAACUUCGGUUUUUUCUUUUCUAUCGGAAGUUUUUCUCCCAAUAGAGUCCGGCGCAACUUUAUUGUUGUGUCCAGAUUCGAAACCCCUUUUUAAACCACUUGAUUUUUCUGUUGGAAUUUACUUUUAUUAAUUAUAAAUAAAAGACAACUUUUAACGGUGGAUCUCUUGGCUCGU